AUUGAACGCUGGCGGCAGGCCUAACACAUGCAAGUAGAGCGGAGCGGCGGACGGGUGAGUAAUGCCUAGGAAUCUGCCUGGGAGUGGGGGAUAACGUCCGGAAACGGGCGCUAAUACCGCAUACUAUCAGAUGAGCCUAGGUCGGAUAAGCUAGUUGGUGGGGUAAAGGCCUACCAAGGCGACGAUCCGUAACUGGUCUGAGAGGAUGAGCAGUCACACUGGAACUGUGACACGGUCCCGACUCCUACGGGAGGCAUCAGUGGGGAUUAUUGGACAAUGGGCGAAAGCCUGCUCCAGCCAUGCCGCGUGUGUGAAGAAGGUCUUCGGAUUGUAAAGCACUUUAAGUUGGGAGGCGUUACCAACAGAAUAAGCACCGGCUAACGUCGUGCCAGCAGCGGCGGUAAUUC
rnacentral:rRNA from 1 species